rnacentral:piRNA from 1 species
UAUGGAUAGUACCUCUGUUCCAACCACAU